rnacentral:misc_RNA from 1 species
AAAAGAGGAACAUAGUCCAGGGUUUAAGAAACGUCCCUGCAAGUGCACUAGAGUCUCAGAGACUUUGUAUCAUUUAUAUGUAAGAGAAAGAGGACGGUUUGAAAUGGAGUCCAUAUUCUUGAGGUAAAGGAACUUGACCCUAAAUGCUCUGGAGUCUAAAGUGUUAAAGAAGUUCAAUUCUAUGAAACACACACCAGUUUGGAAGCAGGAACGACCAGAAAGCAUAAGAGGAGAUGAUUAUAAAAUCUACAAAAUAUACCCAUUAGGCAUGACACAGAGGCAAGCUUUAUAUACCUUCAAGUUCAAUGGGGAUGUUGAUUUCCAGAAUCACUUGGAAAUCAACCCGUGUGCAAAGUUUGAAGUGAUAUUUGUGUAGGAUUGCUAGUGUUCAGCACCAACCACUUCGGUAACUGUAAUAUUUGCAGAGAAGUCGAGAUUGAGGUGAAGGUGAUUCUGUGAGAAUAGUGGCAUUCAUCUUCUGCCUUUGUCCUCAUUGUAUCCAAUGUUUUACAUGGGCUAUGAAAUGUAAUAGAUGGAGGCGUUUGUUGAGAGUAUUUAUGGGGGUGAGGUCCUUGUGCAUCAUGAUCAUUUGAUCUUUGACAGAAGUCGC